rnacentral:rRNA from 1 species
CGAGAGGGCCGCUACCACGCGAGUGGAUGCCAAUCCCUAAAACCCCUACUCAGUCCGGACUGGAGUCUGCAACCCGACUCCACGAAGCUGGAUUCGCUAGUAAUCGCGCAUCAACCACGGCGCGGUGAAUACGUUCCCGGGCCUUGUACACACCGCCCGUCAAGCCAUGGGAGCCGGGGGUACCUGAAGUGCGUAACCGCGAGGAUCGCCCUAGGGUAAAACUGGUGACUGGGGCUAAGUCGUAACAAGGUACC